rnacentral:lncRNA from 1 species
AUGUGUUGCUUCCUCCACAGGUUUAUCUGGAACACAAUGCCGCUUAUGAGCUGCCCUUUUCCUCUUCAGAUACUUUCAUGCCCGACUGUUCGCUGCUUUCCGCCGCCAGCGAGAGAGGAAAGUGGAGCGGUAAUUGACAGCACUUGCAAGAAUAUUUUGAGUCCUUCAAAAACCCUUGGUUCUCACCUAAACCUCCCAUUGUUUCUCAUCAUCAUUGUGCAUUCACGGAGUGGAGCAACAUUCCUCUAUGCAGCUUGGCUCAAGGUUUUUUUGAUCUCCACACAUUGCGACUGAGGUGAGGGGAAGUGAGGUCUUCUGAUGUCUAUGGCUCCUCAUGCCCAAAGUUUGAAUUUCAUUAAAGACCCUCUCUGCUCCCUCGGCUACCAGGAACAAAGCCUGAGCCGGACUCAAUGGUAAUCCUGCCUGCGAGGCGCCGGUGUCAAAGGUCACUCGUCGCCAGCAGAUGAAUCCUGUGGUUGGGGUGGCAGAGGCUAUGAUGGAGAGGAGAAGAAGACAGAGGAGCUCUUUUUCUCAGGUUAUCCAGGGAGAAUCUAAUGAGGAGGAUUGGAGGAGAGAGAGAGGAGCCAUGCGGCUGCUUGGGUGGAGGCAGGAGGCGAGCCGCGGGAAAACUUCAAUACGGAAGGAGAGGAGGAUGAGGUAGAGAGGGUAGAAAACUCUAAUGCGUAACAUGAAAAAAACAAGGGGGAGAGUGAAACAUAAGGCACAAUCAGAGGUUGCAUUCUGUGGUGUUGCAUGAGAGCCACUUAGUGCCUGAGGACAAGCCCAAGGCUAAUAAAGCUGAAAGUUGGUAGAAGCUCUGACCUUGCUUUGGAAAAGAAAAGCCCUAAUAAGGACACAGUCUAAAGAGAGAGAGACAGAGAGAGAGAGAGAGAGAGAGAGAGGAAAAAGAAAAAAAAAAACUUUCCUGUUUCUCUCCAGAGCAAACACUCUCUCCAUCGCUUUUUUUUUUUCAUACACUCGCCUUUCAUUAUAGCACAGAGAGGGAGAGGAACCUAUAGGCGGCCUAAUGAAGGGGACCGUUGGAUCGGAUACAUUAAAAGAACGGAUUAGACAGUGUCUGACAUGGAAACUGACUUUGAACAUGUUCGCAGUGCAUGAUUAGUAAUAGACUG